UACAGAGGUCCCAAGCGUUGUUCGGAUUCACUGGGCGUAAAGGGUGCGUAGGUGGUCAGGUAAGUCUGAUGUGAAAUCUCUGGGCUCAACCCAGAAACUGCAUUGGAUACUAUCUGGCUAGAGGAGUGGAGGGGGGACUGGAAUACUUGGUGUAGCGGUGAAAUGCGCAGAUAUCAGGAGGAACACCCGUGGCGAAAGCGGCUCUCUGGGACGGUACUGACGCUGAGACGCGAAAGCGUGGGGAGCAAACAGG
rnacentral:rRNA from 1 species